rnacentral:rRNA from 1 species
GAAUUUUGCCCAAUGAGCGAAAGCUUGAGGCAGCAACUCCGCGUGAGGGACGAAGGCCUUCGGGUUGUAAACCUCUUUUCUCAGGGAAGAUACAAGACGGUACCUGAGGAAUAAGCCACGGCUAACUACGUGCCAGCAGCCGCGGUAAUACGUAGGUGGCAAGCGUUGUCCGGAUUUACUGGGCGUAAAGAGCGCGCAGGCGGCUGAGUCAGUCCGAUGUGAAAGCUUCCGGCUUAACUGGAAAACAGCAUCGGAAACUGCUCGGCUUGAAGGUGGGAGAGGGUAGCGGAAUUCCCGGUGUAGUGGUGAAAUGCGUAGAUAUCGGGAGGAACACCAGUGGCGAAGGCGGCUACCUGGCCCAUUCUUGACGCUGAGGCGCGAAAGCUAGGGGAGCAAACGGG